rnacentral:rRNA from 1 species
UACGUAGGGUGCAAGCGUUGUCCGGAUUUAUUGGGCGUAAAGAGCUCGUAGGCGGCUUGUUGCGUCGUCCGUGAAAACCUGGGGCUCAACUCCAGGCUUGCGGUCGAUACGGGCAGGCUAGAGUUCGGUAGGGGAGACUGGAAUUCCCAGUGUAGUGGUGAAAUACGUAGAGAUUGGGAAGAACACCAGUGGCGAAGGCGGCUAUCUGGACGGUUACUGACGCUAAGACGCGAAAGCGUGGGGAGCAAACAGG